rnacentral:tRNA from 1 species
CGUAAGAUAUUUGAUACCAGAAUAAUUGACUCUCAACCAUAAAGUGUUGACUACUUUUCAAACUCUCCCGU